GAUGAACGCUAGCGGCAGGCCUAACACAUGCAAGUCGAGGGGCAUCGCGGUGCAGCAAUGCACUGGCGGCGACCGGCGUACGGGUGCGUAACGCGUAUGCAACCUGCCCCGCACCGGGGGAUAGCCCGCCGAAAGGCGGAUUAAUACCCCAUGGUCCCGGGGGCCCGCAUGGGCGAUCCGGGUAAAGACCUUGGCGGUGCGGGAGUGGGCGAUGCGUGCCAUUAGCUGGCUGGUGGGGUAACGGCCCACCAGGGCAACGAUGGCUAGGGGUCGUGAGAGGAUGGUCCCCCACCACUGGUACUGAGACACGGACCAGACUCCUACGGGAGGCAGCAGUGAGGAAUAUUGGUCAAUGGGCGGAAGCCUGAACCAGCCAUGCCGCGUGCGGGAUGAAGGCCCUACGGGUUGUAAACCGCUUUUCCCCGGGAAGAAUAACCCCGAUGAGUCGGGGGAUGCCGGUACCGGGGGAAUAAGGAUCGGCUAACUCCGUG
rnacentral:rRNA from 1 species